rnacentral:lncRNA from 1 species
GCUGCAUUUACAUUUCUGGUAAAGAAUACUUGUGGAAUAGGGAAGAGACUGUCUGUUGGAUUGGGUUGAAUAUUUAUGGUCGUGGAAGUUUUUGAUAAGAAGCGUCCAAAGUUCAUAAAGGAGGAGCCUAUAAGGAGUCUUUAACAGCGUGGGAAAACACAGGAUUGGAAAGGGACUCAAAGCAGCCAGAGGAUAUUUUUCACACAUUGUUUCAAAGCUGUUUGCACCAAAUGAGGAAAUUGGCCCUGAAC